rnacentral:rRNA from 1 species
GAUUAACGCUAGCGGCAGGCCUAAUACAUGCAAGUUGAACGGGAUUGAUUGUAGCAAUACGGUCAUGAGAGUAGCGCACGGGUGCGUAACACGUAUGCAACCUACCUAUAACUGGGGAAUAGCCUCCCGAAAGGGAGAUUAAUACCGCAUAAUAUUAUUGAAUGGCAUCAUUUGAUAAUUAAACCUCAGGGGGAUAUAGAUGGGCAUGCGUCCGAUUAGCUAGUUGGUGAGGUAAUGGCUCACCAAGGCUACGAUCGGUAGGGGGUCUGAGAGGAUGAUCCCCCACACUGGUACUGAGACACGGACCAGACUCCUACGGGAGGCAGCAGUAAGGAAUAUUGGACAAUGGGCGCAAGCCUGAUCCAGCCAUGCCGCGUGAAGGAUGAAGGCCCUAUGGGUCGUAAACUUCUUUUAAACGGGACGAAACCCCUCGACGUGUCGAGGGCUGACGGUACCGUAAGAAUAAGGGUCGGCUAACUUCGUGCCAGCAGCCGCCGCGGUAA